UGAUAUGUUUGAUAUUCGGUUGCUUUCUUUAUAUCAUGUCAACUAAAUAUCAGACAUAUUCCU
rnacentral:pre_miRNA from 1 species